UUAAAAUUUUAAUUUAAUAAAUAAGUGAACUAUAGAAAAUAUUUCAAGACAAAUAAUGGUUAAAGCAUGUUACUAUGGUAAUUUUUGAGCUUUAAGCUAUCAAGUGCAUUUUUUAGUUAACUAAACAUAUAUACUAACUGAAAAAGAAUGUAAUUACAUUAACAAUAUAAGCUACAACUUUUAGGAUUUCAAAAAGGAUGAUUAAAGAAAAAAGAGUAUGAGAAAAAAUGCAAAAAAAAACUUAUUUUUUGUGUUUUUUAUUUUUUAGUAAAUUGUUAUGUCAUGUCAUGUUUUCUUUUAAAAAGUAAUGGUAUUUCUUUGUAAAUUUAUUGGUGCUUUGAAAAGAAAAGAUAUAUUUUAUAAAUGAAAAAGAUACUUUUGUAAAAUUAUUUAAUUUGAAGAUAAAAAUGUAAUUG
rnacentral:lncRNA from 1 species